AAGAUGGAGUAGUCCCGAAUAAUAAUAAUAAUUUUAUUUUAAAGAAUUGUAGUUAUGAUGGACGAGUUUCGCGGAAGUUGCUGAAAUUGGCGUUACCGUUAUUGAAUGCUCAUAUUUAUCGGUUGAUAAAUUUACAAAGAGCCAUCGGACAUUGUAGAUGCGAUAAAUGACGCAGGUAUGCAACAAGUAAACUACUACAUAUACUCGUACUACUGUCGACGUCUGUUUGAAUACGAUGACGUCACAGCAAUAUGACGCAUGUCCUCCCAUCACAUAUCUCAGUACCAGCAUUGAGAUCCGUACUACACUGUUGAAUGACAUUACUUCGACGAGUCAAUGGAUAGAGAAUAAUAACGAUAGUUAAUUUAAAGACAUAACACCAGUAAAACACGUUUUAAAUGUAAGUUUAAUAAAUAGACAUGAGUAAAUGAUUAAAAAAAAAAAAAAAAAACUAAGAGAACAAAAAGGAAAAAAGAAAGAGCUAACAAAGAAUAAAAUUAAAAAAAAAAAAAAAAGGAGUAAGAGUAAAGAUUGAGAUCGUACAAAAGCCGCUCUCGAGCAGCUACAAUCAAAGCCGGUGGUGCGAGACUAUUAAAAAGUUGCUACUCCCAGACAGUGUUAAAUGCUCUAACAUAAAAUUACAAUACUAUAUUACUCUAUGCCUUUUAUUUUAAUUAUUUUAUUAAACUAAAAUAUUAUAUAUUCUCAAACAUGUCGUAUUUACACAAGGGUAAUUUACCAUAACGACACAAUAUUUUAUUAAGCUGGUCAAUUAAGUGUUUUCGACAUAACUCUUGUCAAAAUACCGUGAAAUGCCAAAAUGCAGUACCUACAUGUGUUAUAAGAAAAAUUAAAUUGACUGUGACGGAAAAAUAAAAUCCAACCAUAAAGGGUUUAUACUAAAGUCGAAAGAAAAUGAAUAAAUAAUGAUAAACAUAUGUUUAAGAGUACAUUAGAGGAAGAUUGCACACGUACGGAUAUAUUUAGCGAGUGCGGUAUUUCUCGACCCACAUACUCACGAGAAGGCAGAAUGCCACGUAUGUCGGGGUCAUCCAGCUUGCAAACCUCGCGACAAAGGAAUUACUUUUGAUAUACUUUUGUAGUUUUGUGAGUUGACCAAAAAUUCUAAUCAUGAUAUACAAUUGCUUUUAACAAUAUAAUUCGUUGGCCACUCGUCACCUUGAAGCCAUGGCAACCUUUUUUUGCUUUUCUUUAUCUCCAUAUCGUCGUCUACUCUUUUAUCGUCUGUCUUAUAACUCUAUUCUAAUUUUUAUUAUAAUACCAGGUAACCGACUGGCUAUUAUAAUAAAAAUAAUAACUUACACAUUCUUACU